UGCCAGCCGCCGCGGUAAUACGAAGGGGGCUAGCGUUGUUCGGAAUUACUGGGCGUAAAGGGCGCGUAGGCGGACUGACCAGUCAGGGGUGAAAUCCCGAGGCUCAACCUCGGAACUGCCUUUGAUACUGUUAGUCUAGAGUCUGUGAGAGGGUGGCGGAAUACCCAGUGUAGAGGUGAAGUUCGUAGAUAUCGGGAGGAACACCAGUGGCGAAGGCGGCCACCUGGACGGUGACUGACGCUCAGACCCGAAAGCGUGGGGAGCAAACAGGAUUAGAUA
rnacentral:rRNA from 1 species